rnacentral:rRNA from 1 species
UACGAAGGGAGCUAGCGUUGUUCGGAAUCACUGGGCGUAAAGCGCACGUAGGCGGAUGUGUCAGUCAGGGGUGAAAUCCCGGAGCUCAACUUCGGAACUGCCUUUGAUACAGCACGUCUUGAGUCCGAUAGAGGUGGGUGGAAUUCCUAGUGUAGAGGUGAAAUUCGUAGAUAUUAGGAAGAACACCGAUGGCGAAGGCAGCCAUCUGGACCGACACUGACGCUGAGGCGCGAAAGCGUGGGGAGCAAACAGG